rnacentral:tRNA from 1 species
GCGGGUGUGGCGGAACGGCAGACGCGGGGGUCUCAAACACCCCUGUCGCAAGACGUGCCGGUUCGAGUCCGGCGGCCCGCA